CCCUUAGAUGUUCUGGGCCGCACGCGCGCUACACUGACGAAUGCAACGAGCUUAUAACCUUGGCCGAAAGGUCUGGGUAAUCUCCAAAUUUCGUCGUGAUGGGGAUAGAUUAUUGCAAUUAUUAAUCUUCAACGAGGAAUGCCUAGUAAGCGCAAGUCAUCAGCUUGCGUUGAUUGCGUCCCUGCCCUUUGUACACACCGCCCGUCGCUCCUACCGAUUGAAUGGUCCGGUGAAGCGUUCGGACCGUGGCCUUUGGACGGUUCGCCGUCUGUUGGCUGCGGGAAGUUCGUUAAACCUUAUCAUUUAGAGGAAGGAGAAGUCGUANCA
rnacentral:rRNA from 1 species